UAUUACUUACCUUGAAUUAAAAGUCAAGUUUUUGUUAUAAUAAACAACAUCAAUUGCAUCUUCAAAAAAUAAAUAAUUUUUGACAUAAAAGAUGACCCUUAUUUUACUCUCUUCGAACAAGAUGUUGAAAGUUGAAUGUUACAAGUUUACUCAUCACACUAUAGAAGGUAAUGAGAAUUUGACCUACCCUACCAGAGGCUGAGCAGAACACAAACUGGCCUUGCCCACCUGUCUGCGAGACUCUUCAACAAGCUGCCAAUAGCAGCAAGAGACCUAUCGACCAGGUGAUUCAAGGGCGCACUGAGGGGAUUGCUGGUGUAGAACCCUUUGUAUUCCAUCAAUGAGUUCUUUCUGUUGUACAACAAGCUGGUUCUGGAAUAAACACCGCUGGAGGCCAAGCUUCAGAUAAACGUUUCUGUUCGAAAGAUGUAAACAUAAACAAUUCAUGUAUAUCGAAUAUAAUUAUCAGUUGACAAUAAUUAAAAUUCCUUGAUAUAUUAUUACCUUUUUUAUUGUUAUUAUUUCAAUUUGAAUUGUGUUUUUUGCAUUGAAUUAUAUCAAAGAUUGUAAUGUU